rnacentral:rRNA from 1 species
GACAGAGGUGCCGAGCGUUAGGCGGAAUCACUGGGCUUAAAGCGCGUGUAGGCGGCCCUGCAAGUCGGGUGUGAAAUCCCACGGCUCAACCGUGGAAGUGCACUCGAAACUGCAGGGCUAGAGUCCUGGAGAGGAAGGUGGAAUGCUUGGUGUAGAGGUGAAAUUCGUAGAUAUCAAGCGGAACACCGGUGGCGAAGGCGGCCUUCUGGACAGUGACUGACGCUGAGACGCGAAAGCGUGGGGAGCAAACAGG